rnacentral:rRNA from 1 species
UACAGAGGUCUCGAGCGUUAGGCGGAAUCACUGGGCUUAAAGCGUGUGUAGGCGGGUCGUUAAGUACCUUGUGAAAUCCCAUGGCUCAACCAUGGAACUGCUUGGUAUACUGGCGAUCUUGUGCAACCUAGGGGCGAGCGGAACAGAUGGUGGAGCGGUGAAAUGCGUAGAUAUCAUCUGGAACGCCAAUGGUGAAAACAGCUCGCUGGGGGUUUGCAGACGCUGAGACACGAAAGCCAGGGGAGCGAACGGGAUUAGAAACCCUGGU